rnacentral:miRNA from 1 species
GUGUGUGUGUGUGUGUGUGUGUGUGUACGUUUGGAAAAAAAAGAAAGUAGCUGGUCAUAUGUAUGUAGCAGCUACUUUCUUUUUCUUUCAAACGUACACACACACACAAACAU